rnacentral:lncRNA from 10 species
GUGAUUGAGAAGACUGAUGAAGAAAUCAGAUCCUUGUUCUAUGAGUUUCCCCAGACACAAGUAUGUCAUCUACAUAUUGGAGCAUGUAUAUAGACUCUGGGACAGAUAUCUUCCCUAAAAUUUGUUCAAGAAUUUAGCCAAACAGGUUAGGAGAGUCUGUAAAUCCUUGGAGCAGGACCAUCCAGCAGUAUUGUUGCUUCCGCCCUGAAUGAGGAUCUUCACAUUCAAAAGCAAGCAGAAGAUACUGGAUAGGAGAUAGUGCUAACAUGUACCUCCUACUUGGAUGGACAGUAUGGCAUGUGAAGAUUCAUACUGUGGACUUUUGCUCCAAGAACCACUGCAGGACCAUACCAGGAAAACCUAAAGAAUUCACAGAUCUUUGAAAGAAGCACAAGUCACUGCAGAUUGCAUGAGACAGAUGAACAACUAUGAGUUUCCAUAGUCUGAAAGGGGGAAAACCUGCCUUCAAACACGUAUUCCCGCUGAGGAAUCUGAAAAUACAGAUCACCAGAGAAGGAUUUAACCUUAUCUAGAGCUGGAAUGGAUUUAGGGAGCUGUGCAAAAUAUAAAAGUAAAUGCAACAGUGGGAAGAGCCUUGUAGGCACUCCCAUUCUUCACCUUGUGCGCAGGGAAGCCAUUUCUGAUUGUAUUUCACAGAAGCCCUCAGGGAAGGCACUCAGCAGAAUUAGGGAAGGGUCACAGGGUGUAAGAAGUUUCCAACUGAAUUUUGCAAUAAUUUUAACUGGGCACUAACUUUUUUGACAGGAUAUGGGGGUGAAUGGGAACUGCUGCAAAUACAAGAGCUGGAGUCACAGCCAACUUUGUUGGCAGAUGGGGAGGGGCAAGGCCUGAAAGCAGUGCUUGCUUGCUAAGUGGGGUAGUUUAUGGCCUGAGGCAACGUCUGAGUUUCAGGAGAGCAAGCUGCCUGGAUCUAAACUUGGCACUGUUAGUAGUGUGUCCAGAAUUGGUGGGUUCUUUGUCUCACUGAUUUCAAGAAUGAAGCCGCAGGACCUCACGGUGAGUGUUACAGUUCCUAAAGGCAGCGUGUCCGGAGUUUGUUCCUUCUGAUGUAUGGAUGUGUUCGGAGUUUCUUCCUUCUGGUGGGUUUGUGGUCUCGCUAGCUUCAGGAGUGAAGCUGAAGACCUUUGCGGUGAGUGUUACAGCUCAUAAAGGCAGUGUGGACCCAAAGAGUGAGCAGCAGCAAGAUUCAUUGCAAAGAGUGAAAAAACAAAGCUUCCACAGUGUGGAAGGGGACCCAAGCAGGUUGCCACUGCUGGCUCAGGCAGCCUGCUUUUAUUCUCUUAUCUGGCCCUACCCACAUCCUGCUGAUUGGUC